rnacentral:tRNA from 1 species
UGUGUUGUAGCUCAGUGGUAGAGCACUUGCCUCCCAUGCAUAGGGCACUGGGUUGGAUCCUCAGUACCACAU